AAGCGGCAGGCUCAGCCCCGAGGAGCAAAAGAGAAAAGGGGUUCAAGAUGUAGCUACAUAUACAGCUACGUCGACAAUUAUGAAGGGUGUGAAACCAGGCAGAGUGAGUGACAUAGUGUUCAUUUCCACUAUGCCAAAGCAGUUUACAGUUGCUGACGAUGUAAGGAGUACACGUUACAAGGCCGUGCGGGGGGAGCUGCCAGACCCAGAUGUCCUCCAAGUCAGCGAAGUAUACAAGGACUUCUCAGCAGACAUCGCACCACGAAAAAAAACGAAUGGCUCACUACUCAACUCAACGACUAACACUCUUUCAGAGGAUAUUCUUCAGAUUAUGGACUAUUGUUGUUGUCUACCAAAAUGCACAUAAAUCAGAUCUUGCUCCACUCAACAUAGCCUACAACAGAUUAUGCAGAUUUGUUCUUGGUUGUCCUUUUCGUACACAUCACUGCACAAUGUAUAACCAA